rnacentral:misc_RNA from 1 species
GGAUAAACACCUUAUUUAUGAGAACCUUAGAUAGAUUCCCGGAACUGAUGACAUUCUUAAAGCGUAACAAAGCCCUUGCUCGCCUAUGUCUUUGCAAAUGCACAAUAUUGUUGAAGAAGUCCUGCUCUGGAUCUUCACUGUAAAGAACUGCAAAUGAUCUGAAGUCUUCCACUGUUGGAAGCUUCAGGACCAUAUCUCGAAGUAGAUCGAUCCAUACCUUCUUGAUUGUAUCUUCUUUGUUCAUUGCAGUACCCAUGUGCUUCAAAAAGAAGUUGCUUAGUAUAUGCCUAACCCAGGCUCCAGAAGAUUCUUG